rnacentral:rRNA from 1 species
UACGGGGGGUGCGAGCGUUGUCCGGAAUCACUGGGCGUAAAGGGCGCGUAGGUGGUUUGAUAAGGGUGUGGUGAAAGCCCGGGGCUCAACCCCGGGUCUGCCGUGCCGACUGUCAAACUCGAGGGCUGUAGAGGCAGACGGAAUUCCGGGUGUAGCGGUGGAAUGCGUAGAUAUCGGGAGGAACACCAGUGGCGAAGGCGACUACCUGGCCUGUUCUUGACGCUGAGGCGCGAAAGCUAGGGGAGCAAACGGG